GACGAACGCUGGCGGCGUGCUUAACACAUGCCAGUCGAACGGUGAAGCGCCUUCCUUUUUGGUGGGUGUGGAUGAGUGGCGAACGGGUGAGUAACACGUGAGUAACCUGCCCCCUUCUUCUGGAUAACCGCAUGAAAGUGUGGCUAAUACGGGAUAUUCUGGGUCUGUCGCAUGAUGGGUCUGGGAAAGAUAUUGUUUCGGUGGGGGAUGGGCUCGCGGCCUAUCAGCUUGUUGGUGGGGUGAUGGCCUACCAAGGCGGUGACGGGUAGCCGGCCUGAGAGGGUGGACGGUCACACUGGGACUGAGGCACGGCCCGGACUCCUACGGGAGGCAGCAGUGGGGAAUAUUGCACAAUGGGCGCAAGCCUGAUGCAGCGACGCCGCGGGAGGGAUGGAGGCCUUCGGGUUGUGAACCUCUUUCGCCAGUGAAGCAGGCCUGCCUCGUUUGUGGGUGGGUUGACGGUAGCUGGAUAAGAAGCGCCGGCUAACUACGUG
rnacentral:rRNA from 1 species